ensembl:lncRNA
CUUUACAGUACUGUAACAACAUCUCUUCAGUCCUCAACAUGUCAACCAAACAUGCACAAUCAGUGCAUACAGAGCUACACAGAACUGUAGAGAGGAGAGAGGACAGACAGUGGAGAGGACAGAUAGCAGAGAGGACAGACAGUAGAGAGGACAGACAGUAGAAAGAGUAGAGAGGAGAGACAGCAGAGAGAAGAGACAGCAGAGAGGAGAGAGGACAGACAGCGGAGAGGACAGAUAGCAGAGAGGACAGACAGUAGAGAGGACAGACAGUAGAAAGAGUAGAGAGGAGAGACAGCAGAGAGAAGAGACAGUAGAGAGGAGAGACAGCAGAAAGGAGAGACAGAGAAGAGACAGAUGAGAGGAGAGACAACAGAGAGGAGAGACAGAGAAGAGGAGAGACAGCAGAGAGGUGAGACAACAGGGAUAUCGGAGAAGAGAGACAGCAGAGAGUAAAGACAGAGGAGAAGGAGAGAAAGAGGAGAGAGAGGAGAAGAGGAGAGACGUAGAGAGGAGAGACAGAGGAGAAGAGGAGAGACGGCAGAGAGGAGAGACAGCAGAGAGGAGAGACAGGAGGAGAGAGGGAGAGACAGGAGAAAAAAGGAGAGACAGUAGAGAGGAGAGACAGGAGAAAAAAGGAGAGACAGUAGAGAGGAGAGACAGUAGAGAGGAGAGACAGCAGAAAGGAGAGACAGAGAAGAGACAGAUGAGAGGAGAGACAACAGAGAGGAGAGACAGAGAAGAGGAGAGACAGCAGAGAGGUGAGACAACAGGGACAGCGGAGAGGAGAGACAGCAGAGAGUAAAGACAGAGAAGAGACAGCAGAGAGGAGAGACAGGAGGAGACAGCAGUGAGGAGAGACAGAGGAGGAGGAGAGAAAGAGGAGAGAGAGGAGAAGAGGAGAGACCUAGAGCGGAGAGACAGAGGAGAAGAGGAGAGACAGCAGAGAGGAGAGACAGCAGAGAGGAGAGACAGAGGUUUAGAGGAGAGACAGCAGAGAGGAGAGACAGGAGAAGAGGAGAGACAGCAGAGAGGAGAGAGGGAGAGACAGGAGAAAAAAGGAGAGACAGUAGAGAGGAGAGACAGGAGAGAGGAGAGAGGACAGACAGCAGAGAGGAGAGAGGACAGACAGUGGAGAGGAGAGAGGCCAGACAGCGGAGAGGUGAGACAGUGGAGAGGACAGACAGCAGAGAGGACAGACAGCAGAGAGAGUAGAGAGGAGAGACAGCAGAGACAGCAGAGAGGAGAGACAGUAGAGAGGAGAGACAGGAGAGAGGAGAGAGGACAGACAGCAGAGAGGAGAGAGGACAGACAGUGGAGAGGUGAGACAGUGGAGAGGACAAACAGCAGAGAGUAGAGAGGAGAGACAGCAGAGACAGCAGAGAGGAGAGACAGUAGAGAGGAGAGACAGCAGAAAGUAGAGACAGAGAAGAGAG